UACGUAGGAGGCGAGCGUUGUCCGGAAUUACUGGGCGUAAAGGGUGCGUAGGUGGCGUGGUAAGUCUGGUGUGAAAUCCCGGGGCUCAACCCCGGAACUGCACUGGAUACUGCCAUGCUUGAGUACUGGAGAGGAGAUUGGAAUUUACGGUGUAGCAGUGAAAUGCGUAGAUAUCGUAAGGAAGACCAGUGGCGAAGGCGAAUCUCUGGACAGUUACUGACACUGAGGCAGCGAAGGCCAGGGGAGCAAACGGG
rnacentral:rRNA from 1 species